AAAAAGCAGGUACUCAUUUUGACCAAUGUUUUUUCCUGGUCUCACUAUGAGUAAAUGCUGCGUAGUACAUUUCAGCCGUUACGACGAUCAACAAGAUAUAAAACAAUGUAUCGAGAUCUUUGAAAUAUAACCAUAUUAAUAACGAUAGGCCUGUAAGGAAUACAAAUAAUAAUAUUUGUUAAAAUAACUUUAAACAUUUUUUAUCGACAUAAAUUAAGAAAAAACUAAAAUAAUCAAAUAUAUCAUAUGCCUAUAUAAAUAUCUCAACACGAGUCGAAAUAUUUUAAAAAUUCCACGUAUUUACAAUCCUCAGCAGGUACAUACUAAAGUAAUUUUUUUUUUUAACAAAAAAAUGUCCUUUUAAAUCGUGGUCAUAGAGGCAGCGUUGCCCAUAGUUCGUACCUACUUCAGUAAAAUUUAAUGACCACCACAUCGGUCAGGAGUACCUCCAAUAGAUAACCAUUGUCACUUAUCACCAUGUACAACAAACUAAGAUAGUAGGUAAUAUUUGUUUUCAAAUAAAUAACAACAUAAUAUUAUUUUAUUGUUCGCUAAAUUGUAAUCGAAUGAUUCAAAACAAGGAUCAGUAAAUAAGUAGAUAUUAUGUCCAGAUGCUGUCUCAAACAUAAUCCAAAACACUUGUCUGGAAUAGAAAAAAAAUUAUAUUUCUCCACCGAUGAGUUAGAAGAAAAUGAAUAUACCAAUAAAGAAUUUGGACACCUUAUAAUUGAUGAUUUUAAUUCACCCAGAAAAGCCUUGGAAACUUAUUAAUGUCUAAUUCACAGACACUUAUUGUUGACUUGAAGAAAAUUCUACCAGCUCAGAUGAAGCCAUACAAUAUUGGAGUGAAUUAUGUAACUCAAAAGUAUGGCACGUAAAAUAGCAAACUUUAAUUUUGAGAAAUGUUGGACAUUUGUACAAGGAACUGUAAACAAAAUCAUAAUAAUGGACAAUAUAGCAAGAGACACAUUGAAUAAAUGUUUUGAUAUUUUCAAUGAUUCACACAGUCAGAAACUUUAUAAUUCAACAAAGUUGUUACUAGAGGAACGGGUACUUCAACUAUUGAGUUGACCUAGAAGAAGGAAUCAAUGGCGUAAAUUGGGCUGAAUUGUUAGAUUUGCAAUAAGUUUAGUUUGGACAGACUUUUAGGGGCUUAGCCCCC
rnacentral:lncRNA from 1 species